CCUACGGGAGGCAGCAGUGAGGAAUAUUGGUCAAUGGGCGUAAGCCUGAACCAGCCAAGUCGCGUGAGGGAUGAAGGAUCUAUGGUUUGUAAACUUCUUUUAUAAGGGAAUAAAGUGCGGGACGUGUCCUGUUUUGUAUGUACCUUAUGAAUAAGGAUCGGCUAACUCCGUGCCAGCAGCCGCGGUAAUACGGAGGAUCCGAGCGUUAUCCGGAUUUAUUGGGUUUAAAGGGUGCGUAGGCGGACUUUUAAGUCAGCUGUGAAAGUUUGCGGCUCAACCGUAGAAUUGCAGUUGAAACUGGCAGUCUUGAGUAUGUUAGAGGCGGGCGGAAUGCGUGGUGUAGCGGUGAAAUGCAUAGAUAUCACGAAGAACUCCGAUUGCGAAGGCAGUCCAC
rnacentral:rRNA from 1 species